rnacentral:misc_RNA from 1 species
GAUAAGAACGUAGCGAAAUGCGAUAAGUAAUGUGAAUUGCAGAAUUCAGUGAAUCAUCGAAUCUUUGAACGCACAUUGCGCCCGCCAGUAUUCUGGCGGGCAUGCCUGUUCGAGCGUCAUUUCAACCCUCAAGCCCCCGGGCUUGGUGUUGGGGAUCGGCGUGCCCUCGCGGCGCGCCGUCCCCUAAAUCUAGUGGCGGUCUCGCUGUAGCUUCCUCUGCGUAGUAGCAACACUCGCACUGGAUCGCAGCGCGGCCACGCCGUUAAACCCCCCACUUCUGAAAGUUUGACCUCGGAUCAGGUAGGAAUACCCGCUGAACUUAAGCAUAUCAAUAAGCGGAGGA